UACGUAGGGGCAAGCGUUGUCCGGAUUUAUUGGGCGUAAAGAGCGUGUAGGCGGCCAGGUAGUCUGCUGUGAAAACUCGAGGCUUAACCUCGAGCUGUCGGCGGAAACCAUCUGGCUAGAGUCCGGAAGAGGAGAAUGGAAUUCCCGGUGUAGCGGUGAAAUGCGCAGAUAUCGGGAGGAACACCGGUGGCGAAGGCGGUUCUCUGGGCCUGUACUGACGCUGAGACGCGAAAGCGUGGGGAGCGAACAGG
rnacentral:rRNA from 1 species